rnacentral:rRNA from 1 species
CCUACGGGAGGCUGCAGUGAGGAAUAUUGGUCAAUGGACGAGAGUCUGAACCAGCCAAGUAGCGUGAAGGAUGACUGCCCUAUGGGUUGUAAACUUCUUUUAUAUGGGAGUAAAAUGUUCCACGUGUGGGAUUUGGUAUGUACCAGAUGAAUAAGGAUCGGCUAACUCCGUGCCAGCAGCCGCGGUAAUAGGGAGGAGGCGAGCGUUAUCCGGAUUUAUUGGGUUUAAGGGGAGCGUAGGUGGAUUGUUAAGUCAGUUGUGAAAGUUUGCGGCUCAACCGUAAAAUUGCAGUUGAAACUGGCAGUCUUGAGUACAGUAGAGGUGGGCGGAAUUCGCGGUGUAGCAGUGAAAUGCUUAGAUAUCACGAAGAACUCCGAUUGCGAAGGCAGCUCACUGGACUGCAACUGACACUGAGGCUCGAAAGUGAGGGUAUCAAACAGGAUUAGAUACCCGAGUAGUC